GUGCCUGAAAAUGGCGUCGCGCUUGUUUAUUUGACAUACAGUUCAUUUUUUUUCAGAAUUGACUGUCUCUGGGUAGGCAAUGAACACUAAAUUACAAAAAUGCAUUUAACAAUGUGGGUCACAUAACUGAAUAUAACACAACAGGCUUGAUUCCUUUUUGGUAUCAAUGAUUUCGUGACCUACUUGAAAGGUGAUUCAUAGUUGACCAAAUCAAAACAUUCCAACUUGGAUAGCCAUCUGAAUUGAGUCAUGUUCAAGUCGAAGAAGAAACGGCCUGAAAUAUCAAUCCCUUCAAACUUUGAGCAUAGAGUACACACGGGCUUUGAUAGAGAGCAUGGGAUUUUUGUCGGAUUACCUGCGCAGUGGGCUGGUAUUAUCGGUGUCGAGAAGGAGAGACCGCGGCCCAUUAUCGAUCCUUCCAGCAUCACACAGACCGACAUUGAACCCAUGAAGACAAUAAUUCGAGGUCAUUCGACAGUUGAUAUAAAUGGCUAUCACUCUGGUUUUAAAGGCAUAAGUGUUGCUCGUUCCAAUUCGUUACGCCGUGAUAGCCCACCGCCCUACCGCAGAGGCUACCAGGGUAAUGCGAACAUCAACACGGUCCACGAAGAAGAACCAUACAAAACCCCAAACCACCACCAAGGCCAGCACCAAUACGGUCGCGACCAGCCCGACUACAAAGAGUAUUCACCGCGGAACUCGCGUGGUGACCCGGCUGAGUUUGCUGAGCACGGACGCUAUCCACAGGAGCGUGGCUACAAAGACAAUGGCUACCCACCAGACAAGGAUCAGAGAGAAGCUAGAAGAGAUUACAGAGAUCCUAAUUUCUCAGAUCGUGAGUUCCGCCACCCAAAUCAAAAAGACCCUCGAGACCAGCCUAGGGAUGAGUCGUUUGACCGCCGCCAGAUGGACUACAAUGAUCGGAGUUUCAAUAGUUCGUACGACAGGGAUCAGUACCGAGAUAACUCGUUUGAACGCGAUCCGUACAGGGACCGACAGCGGGAGAUGUCCCCAUACAACAUGGGCCCCCCACAGGAUGGGCGUGGUGGUCCACCUCACGACCCCAGUAGACAGAUGCCCAAUGGAAGCCUUCAUAACAAUCGACAGCAUCCUGACAUGACUCCAUACUCGCCCAAGAGUGCAGCGGCCAUGCAGUAUGAACGGGUGGGGCCCUCCCCAAAUAAACCCAACCAGCUCUCACCAAACCAGAUUCCUUAUCAGGGCCCUCAAUCGGCCGGUGCCAAGGGGCCACCGUCUCCCGCUAGAUCCCCAACCGGCAAGCAACCAGGCCCCAGUCCGGUUGAACAACAAACAGUUUCGCAUGAACAGUUUCGAGCAGCAUUGCAAAUGGUGGUUACGCCAGGUGAUCCUCGUGAAUUUAUUUCAAACUUUGUCAAAAUUGGUGAAGGUUCUACAGGUAUUGUGUGCAUUGCUGAUGACAGGUCAAAAGGUCAUCAGGUAGCUGUGAAGAAGAUGGAUUUACGCAAACAGCAGAGACGAGAAUUGCUCUUCAACGAGGUGGUUGUGAUGCGAGACUACCACCACCCGAACAUUGUGGAUAUGUACAACAGUUUCUUGGUGCGUGACGAGCUGUGGGUUGUCAUGGAGUUCAUGGAGGGAGGAGCACUCACCGAUAUCGUCACACAUGGCAGAAUGGAUGAGGUACAGAUCGCCACUGUGUGUAAAGCAUGCUUGAAGGCACUGGCAUUCCUGCACUCACACGGCGUCAUACACAGAGACAUCAAAUCAGACUCCAUUCUCCUCUCACAUGACGGCAAGGUGAAGUUAUCAGAUUUUGGUUUCUGCGCACAAGUAACUCAAGAACUGCAGAAAAGAAAAUCCCUCGUUGGUACGCCAUAUUGGAUGGCUCCUGAGGUUAUUUCAAGAUUACCGUAUGGCCCAGAGGUAGACAUCUGGUCGCUGGGUAUCAUGGUUAUGGAAAUGAUCGACAACGAACCCCCGUUCUUCAACGAGCCUCCACUACAGGCAAUGAGGAGGAUCAGGGACAUGCCACCACCCAAGCUGAAAAACACUCACAAGGUAUCACCACGGUUACAGGGAUUUCUCGACCGCAUGCUUGUCCGGGAUCCUACCCAGAGGGCGACAGCUGCUGAACUCUUGAACCACCCUUUCCUGCGGGAGGCUGGACCCCCCUCCUGUCUUGUCCCCUUGAUGCGUACGUUCAGAAACAGUCCAUGUUGACGGUCACACUGAUAACGCUUUGUUGGAUCAACGCUAAAGGUGUUGAGUAAGAUGAGCUAAGUACUUUGUGUUGGCUGUGUGUCUGCUUGAAAUGCACUCAUCAUAGACCAGCAGCAUUUUUCUUCCAGUCUAAUAAAGUAACUCACCAGCGAUGGUCAUUACAAUAUUCAUUAGAAAAAACAAACAGUGGUCAUUUCGUUUUCUAUAAUUUUGUACAUAUCCCAUCAGCUACUUCCCAGUAGUGCAUGUAUGAGCCAGUGCAGGCAUGUAACAUGCUUUUGAUUACAUGGAAACAAAACUGAAGUCAAACUAUGUUUUAUUUCAUAGUUGAUGUCAAAUAUUUAAAGUCUUUAUAUUCCAUCUCUCUAUGCAAUGUUUUUAGUACUUAUUGCAGCAUAGAGUCUACUUUUACUAUACAUUGCAUAGGCUGGAAUAUACCUCGAGCUUGCUGCACAAGUUAAGAUCGUUUUACGACAGCAUAUAUUGCAUGUAUAUACAUGUCUGUAAUCUGGCAACAAGCUAUAGCUAGUGUAAUAUAAUACAUCUGCAUGAUUUUUGAACAUUAUUUUGUAGGUAUUGUGUAAAAUUGUCAUGUGUUGUGUAUAAAAGAUGAUUACAGAGACCGGUCGUCGGACACUUGAGUUGGUCGGUGGUAUCAAACUGGGUUGUGCCUUUCACACAGUGUAACGAAGAAUCCAUCCACAGAUGUCUCCGCCCAACUUGUUUUCACUAUGCAGCUUUACACUCGCCGACUGUCACACACGACAGUGCGGCUUUUUAACUCGGCUUUUUUACAGCUGAACUUUCAACUGAUUUCUUAGCUCUUUUUCUCAUUAUCUUUGAAUUUUGUCAAGACAUCUUUAAAAGAAGAUUGUAAUGUUUGAAGUAUUUGAAUUGGGAUCCAUUCAAAAUAGUAAGUGUAUGAUUAGUGUGUAAAUAUAUUAUCUUGAUGGAGGUUACAAGACCUGGACAGUUGGAUGAGUUUUACAAGGAUUGUUUUGUUGCAUUAAAUUUUUGUCACUUUGUGAGUUUUCAUGAAAGUAGGUCCUAAUAUUGUCCUAUGAGAGGCUUACAAAUGUUUCUACAAAUGUUUCUACUGGAUGGAGAAAGAGAUGUUUUCGCUUGGUUAUUCCCACAUGUUUUUGUCAAAGCCAUCAUUUUACCUUCCUGUUGAUAGCACUACCCAGGAUAUGUAUAUCUAAAGGCUGUUGGUUCAACAGUGUUGACAAUUUAGGGGAUAAAAAAAAGAAACUAUUUAAAGAUUGAUUUAUUUUGCAUUUAUUGUAUUAUUGAAAAAUGCAUUUUAAAAAUAUUUCCAUGUAUGAAAAAAACAUUUCUUUGUUAGUAUUGACUGUUACUGUGAGAUUUAGAGCUGUAACGAUAUGGUGAUACAGUAUCGUAUUGCAAUACGAGGGCCACGAUACAAUACAUUCAUGUUUUAAUAAUUUUUGGUAAAAAAGUUCAAGCAGAAAACGUAAUUUCAACAUUCAGUUGAUGGAAUUCCCCUGUAAUUAAGGUGUCUAUUAAUAGUCCUCGACAUUGAUAUCUAAACGUACACCAUAGGUUUAUUUUUUGCUUACAAAAUUAAUUAAGGUUAUCAUGUUUCAUAUACUUGAACUAAACAAUUAAUUAUCGAUAAUUGAUAUGAAAAGUUAAGUAUCACAAUAUAACCCAAGUAUCAGUAUACGUAUCAUAUCGUGAUCUCCCGCAUCGUUACAACUCUAGUGAGACUGUUUCUCAGAAUUAUAAUAGUGAUUACUUUUGAGUAAUGUUGAUAGAUGUGCCUAGACUCUGGUUGUUAUACGAAGAACAACAUGUUGCUGGGCCGACUGUUGCUGUGUCAUUCUGGAAACCUACCUCAGACUACUCCGCAAACCAAAGCUUUAUAAAGACACUUAAAACCAGAGUUUAAGGACCACCGAGAUGUGGGAAGGGGUUUGGGGGAAGUGGUCAAACCAGCAUAAAAUUAUUUGCGUUGCUUAGAUUGGUUUUUUCAUUUGAGAUGGUAUUAUUUUAAAGGCAGUGUGCUAGAUGGCACUCCUCUAUCCCAAUGUUUCAUACUGUUAAAAAAUUAAGACCCCCCCCCCCCCCCCAAUCCCACCACCCACCCCCAGUUCCAAGUGAAAGUGUGGAACUAUCACUUUUCAUGAUUAGUAGCACAAACUUGGCCAAUGUAUAGAAACAUAUAUAUAUAUAUUAUUAAUAAGACUCCAUCAUAUGUGGUCAUGUGGGAUAGAAAAAGUACACCCGAGGUGGUGGAAAUUUCAACUUGGGAAGAGGCUUGCCGAGUCCCAGGGUUGAAAUUUCCACCACGGAGGGUUUACUUUUUCUUUCCCACAUGACUGCAUACAAUGGGAGUCUUUUUCUCCCAUUUAUUCGAUAAAUAAACCAUUAUUUUACACGAACAAACAAAGAUGGCUGAAAAAGUAACUUCUUUAUUUGACAGUUUUAUCAUAAAUAAUCUAUACUUUUUCAUGUGUUAAAUACAUUUUAACACUACAGAUUAAUAAGCUUUUAUAAUGAAGGUUUUAAUAACAAAAUAUCGAUCUAAAACUAACCAACUCGCAUUAAUAUGACAUCCUAUAUUACCAAUGCCGUAUUACUCCCCAUGUUAAACUCAGUGACGUCGUAGCCUAUACAAGACAGUUGUUUCUUAUGGGCUGACGUUAUAUAUAUAUAUAUAUAUAUAUAAUCUGUUCCUCUCAUUCCAUUAAUACAAAUUAAAUAUAUAUUUGUUAGUUGAACAUUUAUCUUGCUUGUUAUCACUUAAAAUUGAGAAGUUCAUUUUCAAAACACAAUGUACACCAAUUUCUAACUUUGUGAGUUAGCUGUGAAGGUGCACUGUAUACUAUAGUACAAAUCAGCAAUAUGACACUAGUUUCUAUCAAAACACAACCUAAGCCCAUUAAACACAAUCUUAAUGCUGUUUUGUCUUGUAUAUGCUAUCGAUAUAUCACAUUUUGGAAAUAGACUAUUAAAUUACUAAUCACUAUUACUGUAAAACGGGUACUUUUCACAAUUUCAUAUAAAGUUUAUUUUGCUGUUUGUGAUUUUCGUGGAUGCCAAAAAACUAAUUUUAAAAAACGAUUUUAAAAACUAUUAUGAUUUAUUGUUUUACACACAUUAAAGUUAUCUAUUCACUAUUUACAUUUAUGGUAGAUGCAAGAAAAUCAUUCUUUAUUUUAUUCCUUAACUGUUUUGUGAAAUUAAGACCUUGACCCUUAUGCCAGUUUCAGUCUAGUCUUUAUAAUUAAGGUCUUAAUUAUUUGUAUGAAUGUGAUUUUCAGAGUUGACUUACAGAUGUAUAAAUUGUGUACAAAAAGUACCUGUUUUAUAGUAUAUCAUCACAUACUCAUUGGAAAUUAUGUAAAUACCUGUCCAUUGCUUCUGUGUAUUUACCUAAUUAAAGACAUUUAACAAAAUAUUGGUUAUAAUACUUUAAAUAUAAAUUUCAUGUAUGUGUUUUGCACUUUUCCUUAAAAAGAUUGGAAAUGAAAUAUUUUGCUACUAGCAGUUAUAUUAAAUUUGGUGCUUUACUUUGGAAUUCGAAUAGGUAUUGUGUAAUUGUUACAAACCACAGUAUGCUUAAGACACACAAAUAUUCUUGAAAACUGCAAGGCACAUUACAAGCUGUAUCAUGUUCAUAAUAGUGUGUAAUAUAUGUUUACAUAUGGCUGUAUAUUAUGAAUAACAAGUGCUUUGAAUCAUGUAUCCAUUACAGGUGUGAACAUGGUCAUUUCUGUUACAUUUCCUAUUUAACUGAAAAUUUACAUUCGUUAUCUAUUUCCGUUGUGGAAAAUAACAAGUGAUGGCUGAGGUGAGUUAAGAAUAUAGGAACUUGUCUUAAGUAUUAAUUCCUCGUUACUUAGGGUUUGCACUGCCAUUCACUGAAUUUGCCAAUUGCACAUUUCUGUAAUAAAUAUUUAUUUAAAAUGUUUCAGUUAUAUGAAAUAGAUUAUGGAAGUGGUUUAAGAUCAUUGGUCUGUGAAAGUACUGUGGAUACAUUGCAGUUUUCCUACCAGUGUUAAAACAGUAACAAUCGCUUACGUCUGUGAUGUUGGAAAGUACCGGGUAGAUCAUGCUUGCCCACAAUUGUUUUUGUUUUUCAGCAUGAAACACAAUACUACAAUAUCUCCGUCUGAAAUGUUGUUUCACACAAAUCUAUUGAAAAUUAAAUUAGUCAUUAAUUGUUAGUGUACUACAGUAAUUUAAUAUUUUUAUUUUUAUUAUUAUUUUAAUAAAAAGUAUUUACUUGUUACUAAUACUUGUAUUAAAUGAAUGUUCAUGUCAUGAAAUUGAAAUAUUUCAGUUACAUGUUGAAAUAGUGAAUUUAUGAAUUGAAAUUUGAAGUUGUAGACAUAUUAAAAUUAAACUACUAGUAAUAGACAAGUUUUAACUGGUUAUUAUACAGCCAGGUCUAUCUUCAGCUGGAUUUUGGCGGAGAGAUUUGGGUCUCAUCAGGCAGCCAUUUUUGUUCUUCCAUACAUUUGAACAAGCCUAUGUUCAGCCAGCAGCUUUUCACUAACGUUUCCUAACCUUUUUUCACUGGUUUUUAAAGUAGUCAUUCAGUUUAAUGUGUUGGGUAAAAAAGUCGAGCAAGUGUUAGCGACAAACGGUUGAAUGAACGUGGCCCAAUUUUUCAUCAAGCUAAUUUUUAACGCCCUCUGAUGUGAAGUGUUAUUUUAUUUUUACAACUUCAAAAAAUUAACGGGGAAAAAUGCUUACAAACUGCCAAAAAUUAUUUUUAUUUGGAAAAGUUUAAUAUAAAAAGUAUUUCUUAAAACAUGUUUGAUUAUUUUGUACAGUUUUUAUAAAUAGUCAUUUCAUAAAUAUGCCACAAGGAACAAAGUACCUGUUUUAUUUUUAUAACAUGAAACUUAUGACAAGCAUAUUUAAUGUGAGACUUGUAGGUAGUAAGGCAAUAUGUCGCCAUGGUGAUGAUUACAGAUUCUCUCCUCUUGUCUUCUCUUGCAUUCCUUCACUUUAACUCUUUAAUUCCAAGACAUGCAUUUUGUUUGUGCUUACAGUGCUAGGUACUGUUAACUCUUUAAUUCCAAGAUAUGCCUUUUGUUUGUGCUUACAGCGCAAGGUACUGUUAACUAUUUUAAAAGGUAACCCGAGUUAUCGUUCCUUGAAGCCUUGUGAAAUACUGUUCACCUGUUCAAUGUACAUACCGGUUUUAGUUAGCUGUAGCUGGGCAGGUAGCUGGCACUGCUUGAUGGAUGUCAUGAAUUAACAUGCUAGUUAGAGACAGAUCAAUAGCAUAACUAUAUUUUUAUACAGGGAGUCAGAGUUGUAUUAUAGUGUACAGAGUCUAACCAAAUGAUAGUGAACAUGUGGUUUUUGACUGUGUUGUUGACUGGUGCACUGGUCGUCACAGUUAGACCUACCUGUACAGGAUAUUGUUUUCUUUGUAAGUAGUGUAGGUCGGAAAUGUUGUUGACUGGUGCACUGGUCUUCACAGUUUGACCUACCUGUACAGGAUAUUGUUUUCUUUGUAAGUAGUGUAGGUCAGAAAUCUUGUUGACUGGUGCACUGGUCAUCACAGUUUGACCUACCUGUACAGGAUAUUGUUUUCUUUGUAAGUAGUGUAGGUCGGAAAUGUUGUUGACUGGUGCACUGGUCUUCACAGUUUGACCUACCUGUACAGGAUAUUGUUUUCUUUGUAAGUAGUGUAGGUCGAAAAUGAAGACAAAUGGUUAUUCAUAUAAACCUUGAUUGUUGUGUCUAAUAUUUGUCAGAUGUGUGUACUGCUGAUAGACCAGCGGAACAAGUGGCUAUUUAUUUUUAAAACAAAGAAUGAAUUUCCACACUGUUGUAAGGUCAUAUUGUUUUUGAAAUUUUGUAAAGCUGUACAAAGCCCAAGCUCCAAUACAGCUUGUUGUGAGACCAGACAUACCAUUGAGUAAGAAUUCAGUGGAAGCUAUGGUUUUUGGUUAAUGUAUUUGAGACAUCGCUUAAUUCAAUGACAAGUAUAACAUGCCAGAUAUUGCCAGUAUUGAAACAUCAUAACAUUUGUGAGCAGUGUAAUUUAACGUGUGAGCAAUAUAACAUCAUGUGUGAGCAAUACACAUUGUAUUUAUUACUGGUUGACAAUGUAAUAUUCCAUUUAUCACUGGUGAGUCAUGUAAUAUACAUUUUUCACUGGAGAGCAGUGUAAUAUUUCAUUUAUCACUGGUGAGCAAUAUGAUAUUCAUAUAUCACUGGUGAGCAGUUGAUAAGAAAUGUAUUUCUUUUAUCACUGGUGAGCAAUGUAUUAUUCCAUUUAUUAUUAGUGAGCAAUGUAAUAUUCAAUUUAUAACUGGUGAGCAAUGUAAUACUUAUAUUACCGUCGGUGACUAAUGUAAUGUUUAAUUUAUCACUGGUGAGCAAUGUAAUAUUUCAUUUUUCAUUGGUAACUAAUGUAAUAUUCAAUUUAUCACUGGUAACAAUUGUGCUAUUUUUUAACUGGUGAGCAAUGUAAAAUUUAAUUUUUCACUGGUGAGCAAUAUAUUUCAUUUAUCAUUGGUGAGCAAUAUAAUAUUUCAUUUAUCACUUGUGAGCAAGGUAAUUUUUUCACUGGUGAUCAAUCUAAUAUUUUUCAGUGGUGAGCAAUGUAAUACUGUAAAUCGUAAAAUAUUAGAGAUCUUAAAAUUUAGCAAAAUCAAAAUAAGUGACAUUUUAAUGACAUAAUUUUAGCGAGGUAGCCACAUCAGAAACUAAAAAAAGAAUAAGCUUAAGUUGUAGAGAGACAUCUUGAAGUUAGUUGAAAAUGGCAGUAAUGUGCAUGCUAACUAUUGUUUUUUGCUAUAUUUUGGUUUAAUCAAUACUAUGUAACCAUUGUUGUGCCUUCAGUUAAUCACAGACAAAACAAUUGCACAGAAAUAUUUUGGAACAAUCUGUUGUAUGUCUCUUUAAAUUUAGAGUCAUGAAAUAUUAGUGUGUAUGACCUCACAAAAUUUGCUAACAUUUUAUGCUCGCUAACAUUUCCUAAUUUACAGUAUUUUAUUUAUCACUAGUGAGCAAUGUAAUAUUCAAUUUAUAACUGGUGACCAAUGUAAUAUUUCAUUUAUCACUGGUGACCAAUGUAAUAUUUCUUUUAUCACUGGUGACCAAUGUAAUAUUUCUUUUAUCACUGGUGAGCAAGGUAAUAUUUCAUUAUCACUGGUGAGCAAGGUAAUAUUUCAUUUAUCACUGGUGAGCAAGGUAAUAUUUUAUUUAUCACUGGUGAGCAAGGUAAUACUUCAUUUAUCACUGGUGAGCAAGGUAAUACUUCAUUUAUCACUGGUGAGGUAUGAACAUCUUGCAUGGUACCAGCCACGUAUACAGUAUGCAAUCAUCAUUGUUUGUUUUGUCAAUACACUGAUGUUAUUUUUGUCAUGUCCGUUGAUAUUAUUUGUUUUAUUUGAAUUGUAUUUAAGUGUUAGAUACACUAUAUAAUACACUGGUGGAUUUUGUAUCUCACUGUUAAUAGAUAGAUAUGUAUUAGUACACAUAUUCCUUUCAUCUGUAUAUAUACCCCGUUACAUAUACAUAUAUACAGGUGCAUGCAGGUAUAUGCUGGUUGAAAUCAAAGACAAAGUUUGCUUCAAAAUUUUAUAAAGUGCUUAUGUUUGUGUUAUCACAUUUCCUUUUCAUGCUGCAUCAUUUUCUGUUUUUAUUUAACAUAUUCAGUAUAGAUGGUAAGACUUGUCAAAACCAAGCCGUUUGUCAUAACAUUUAAUAGCCAUUUAAUAGCUUGAAUUUUAUUAGAAACAAUUAAUUUCUCAAAAACUGUCUAUAAACAAAUAUAUAGCUAAAUAAGGAAAUAUUGACAGUUUGAUUAAUUGGAAGCAGAUGUUUUAUACAAUAUUUAUAAACGUCACAGUCAUCUAUGAAUUUAUGAAAUAAAAACUUAAUGCAAAUUACCAAGACAGUUAACUGUGAUCUCACUGGACACUAAAUUUUCAGGUGAUGUCAGUCUUUGUGUAAUUAUUAUUUCUAGCUACAAUGUGUGUGAUUUUACACCAUACGUUUACAGUGCACUCUCAAUAGCAACAGUACAUUAUUUGUAAAUAGACAUAUUAAUUUGGAUUCCUACAUUGUAUUGUAUGGAAACUUCUACAAAUAUUAUUCCGGUCUGUGUGUGUGGAUUUGGCUGGUAGAUAAACGACUGACAAACAGCAGACAUUCUGUGUAGUAUUCUUCCCAACUGUGUAACAGGUGUAUUAAUAGGUAAUCAUGGGCCGUAGAUACAAAUAUACUUCACACUAGGGUGUAUGUAUUCGUAGACUCCAUGCAUAUUCGGUUACACGUAUCAACUUAUGCAUGUGUAUUAUCAUUGAGCAUUGUACAAAGCCCUUUUAUACAAGUGUAUUAUAUCUGUGAAGCAUAUAUUGGCAUACAUUUAAAGUUUUUUAAUGUUCCAAGUCGUCUUCAAUCAUGACAUUUUCCUGGGCUGGUUAAAGUCAUUCCAUUUAUCAACAUAUUUGUGAGUAAGUAAGGUAACAACGCUGUUCAAGGCUUGUCACUACUAGUAAAGAUGAAAUCUUAAAGGUAUUUUUAAUAUAUAAACAAUUAGUACUAAUGUGUAUUUUUUUAAAUGCAUUUUUAAAAAUUAAAUAAGGCAUUCAUUAAAAUAAUUAAAAACUUAAUAAUAAUUGUCUAGAGUGAGAUGAAACUGGACAAAAUGAAGCACUGCGAUGGGGAUGUUGUACAAUGAACUAAACGGUGACAUAGUUUACACAUCACCACAGCUGUUGGUGUCUGUUGAUACAGAAACUAAUGGGGAGAUGAGGUUAUGGUUAUUCAAAGCACUGGAGUGAUACAUACUGUAGUAGUACUGAAUGUGUAGGCCAUUCCACCCACGAUGAGAGAUUUAUAGUCAUUCAGUCUUGGAUACUGCUAGUAAUUCUUUCUGUGAGAGUAUAAUUUACCAUGCAGAAUAGCUAUGUCGUAUAGUACAUUUAGCCAGGUUUUUAGUGCUCACUUUACUUAGGUAUCUGUGACGUCUUCGUUCCGAUUACAAUAUGCAAAUGAACAAAUGUGACAGCUGUGAUAAUAGACCAUUAUUCAUCUAUUAAAUAUCUACGCCCGUGUAAUCACUAUUAGGCCAUGCUGGAUUAUUUCUGUGUUUGGGUCUGCAUACAUUUAUCUUUCAGUAUCUAAAACUUAUUUUAAUACCCAUUUUAAAUAAUAGAAAUGUAAUUAGUUUUCCUUUUACAGAUGAUGAAUAGAUGUAUCUUGUAUGAUCACUAUACUGUGGAAGAGGUAAAGAUAUUUAAUGUGUAGCAACACAGCUGUCUAACCUAAAGAUGUUUUCUUAAGAUGAUUAUAUUGUAUGAUCUAACACUUGGUGAAGUUGAAUGUGGAACUUUCAGUUGAUAUAAGAACUAAACUAACGAACUCGUGUCCAGUUAUCACGGCAGUUAGUCAUUAGAUCUUACACAGAACCCGAUUAUUAUAUAGCUGUGAAAAGUAGCUAUUUCCAAUUACAAUACACUGGAGACACUAAAAUGAUGUUUUCACGCAAUGUGGCUUAAAGGCCUGCAUGUUUAUUGGUCAUCUUAGCCAGUGUCUGAUUUUAUAUUGGGGAUUUCCAUUCAUUGUUUGGCAAUGAACAAAUAAUUUUAAAAAUUAUUGAAAAGUUCUUGUAAUGGAUUUAUUGAUAUUAAAUAAACAUUUGUGAUAUAAAUAUAAAAUAUUCUGCACUUUAGAUUAGAUCCAUAGGGAUUUUUUUUUUAAAAACCCCACCAAUAAAUACAGUCCGCAUUAACGUUUUGACCAUACCGUAGGUCUUUAUGUAAUUAUAAUUUUGACAAAGGCUAUGGCGAAACGUGAACUAGAGGGUGGUCACUGGAUUGGUCAGACUAUUCAACCGAAGAUAUUCCACUUUGUUUUUUAAAUGAUCAGUUCCGAUACUAGCUCUUGGGCUAUGCUUAUUGGCUGUUUGCGAGUCGCUCAACUGGUUGUGUUUUAGUGUACAUUCAGUAAAUCAUUGUAUAAUAGCAGUGGUGAUAGAACCCAUUUUACUCGUCUUGUGAAAUAUUAACUAUAUAUAAAUAUAUUAUACAUUAUCAGAAAUAAACAUAUUUGUAUGUUUCAGUAAA
rnacentral:misc_RNA from 1 species